GAUGAACGCUAGCGGCAGGCUUAACACAUGCAAGUCGAGGGGCAUCGGGAAGUUAGCUUGCUAACUUUGCCGGCGACCGGCGCACGGGUGAGUAACGCGUAUCCAACCUUCCCCUUAGUAGGGCAUAGCCCGGCGAAAGUCGGAUUAAUACCCUAUGUUCUUCGUCGAGGACAUCUGAAGUGAAGCAAAGGUUUACCGCUAAGGGAUGGGGAUGCGUCUGAUUAGGUGGUAGGCGGGGUAACGGCCCACCUAGCCGACGAUCAGUAGGGGUUCUGAGAGGAAGGUCCCCCACAUUGGAACUGAGACACGGUCCAAACUCCUACGGGAGGCAGCAGUGAGGAGUAUUGGUCAAUGAACGAGAGUCUGAACCAGCCAAGUAGCGUGCAGGAUGACGGCCCUAUGGGUUGUAAACUGCUUUUAUGCGGGGAUAAAGUGCGGCACGUGUGCCGUUUUGUAGGUACCGCAUGAAUAAGGACCGGCUAAUUCCGUGCCAGCCGCCGCUGUAACAC
rnacentral:rRNA from 1 species